ensembl:lncRNA
AUUGUCAAAUGAAUAAUAAAACUCCUCAGGUUAUAUGGUAUGGUAAAUAUUACUAAUAUAGAUAUCCUAGAAAUUAUAUGGAGUUCCUAAAAUUCUGAUAUGUUCUGAUAAAAUGUUAUCAGUCAUAAUUCUAGUUACUAACAUAAAGUGUUGUCACAGCAGUAACAAAGUUUCAGAUUUUAAACAUGCCUUAAGUCUUUUGUCAUUACAGAGAGUUAUGGUUUUAUUCUGAUGGGCAUUUGUAAAAAUGCUUCCUCUUCAAGAAAAUUUAUAGAAAGGACUUUCGGAUAAAUACACAUUUCUGACUUCAGACCAUAAUGCUGAACUGGUGUCAGCCUCAUUGGCUCCAGUUGACGUCACUUGAAGCUUGGUGUAGGCACAGAGUAUGAGCUUAGUAACAUCUAACGUUUGUUUCUUCUGCUGCCACAUUUAAGGUAGGAUGUUGCCUGUGCAAGUAGAGUGAUAGAGGGAUGCCUGGAAUGGGAGGAGGUGGGGAGGUCCCCUGGGUCGCCUCAUCCUAUAUGCCUGCAGAGGAGAGGUG